GAUGAACGCUGGCGGCGUGCCUAAUACAUGCAAGUCGAGCGAACAGACGAUGAGCUUGCUCCUCUGACGUUAGCGGCGGACGGGUGAGUAACACGUGGAUAACCUACCUAUAAUACUGGGAUAACUUCGUGAAACCGGAGCUAAUACCGGAUAAUAUAUUGAACCGCAUGGUUCAAUAGUUAAAGACGGUUUUGCUGUCACUUAUAGAUGGAUCCGCGCCGCAUUAGCUAGUUGGUAAGGUAACGGCUUACCAAGGCGACGAUGCGUAGCCGACCUGAGAGGGUGAUCGGCCACACUGGAACUGAGACACGGUCCAGACUCCUACGGGAGGCAGCAGUAGGGAAUCUUCCGCAAUGGGCGAAAGCCUGACGGAGCAACGCCGCGUGAGUGAUGAAGGUCUUCGGAUCGUAAAACUCUGUUAUUAGGGAAGAACAAAUGUGUAAGUAACUAUGCACGUCUUGACGGUACCUAAUCAGAAAGCCACGGCUAACUACGUG
rnacentral:rRNA from 1 species